UGUUAUUUGAUCGUGAAUCGCUUAUGCUAAUUUCUUUUUUUGACCCACCUACCCGCUGUACCGUACCUUAAUCUUCAUGGCGGCCGACGACGCCGAGAUCUACAAUAUUCUGGUGAGGUGACAUUUUCACACGGCGUUGGCGGUGCAUGUUUAGUUUUUUCCAAGACUAAUAGUCCGCUACAUAGGAAAAGAAGGGUGCUUAUGUUUGUCAGAGGGUAUAUGUAUGUAAAUUCUAUGCUUAAUUGUUUUAGCUCGUCUUAUUCUUUUUAGAAAUUAAACUAACUAUAUAAAUCCAUACAAAGUGUGACUUGUUUUGUUUGGUUACUGG